rnacentral:rRNA from 1 species
AGAGUUUGAUUAUGGCUCAGGACGAACGCUGGCGGCGCGUUUUAAGCAUGCAAGUCGAGCGGCAAGGGCCUUCGGGCCCCUAGAGCGGCGGACGGGUGAGUAACACGUGGACAAUCUGCCCCCCGGCCGGGGAUAGCCCAGGGAAACCUGGAUUAAUACCGGAUGAGACGGGACCCGCGGAGGCGGGAUCCGGGAAAGGCGCUGCGGCGCCGCCGGGGGAUGAGUCUGCGUCCCAUUAGCUUGACGGCGGGGUAACGGCCCACCGUGGCGACGAUGGGUAGCCGGCCUGAGAGGGUGUACGGCCACAUUGGAACUGAGACACGGUCCAGACCCCUACGGGAGGCAGCAGCUAAGAAUCUUCCGCAAUGGGCGAAAGCCUGACGGAGCGACGCCGCGUGAACGAAGAAGGCCGUGAGGUUGUAAAGUUCUUUUCGGGAGGGGGAACAACCGUGGCAGGGAAUGGCCGCGGGAUGACGUGAAUCCCGGAAUAAGCCCCGGCUAACUACGUGCCAGCAGCCGCGGUAACACGUAGGGGGCGAGCGUUGUUCGGAAUCAUUGGGCGUAAAGGGCGUGCAGGCGGUCCUGCAAGUCCGGCGUGAAAGACCCCGGCCCAACCGGGGGGGCGCGCUGGAAACUGCAGGGCUUGAGUACAGGAGGGGAUGCCGGAAUUCCAGGUGUAGGGGUGAAAUCUGUAGAUAUCUGGAGGAACACCAAUGGCGAAGGCAGGCAUCUGGCCAUGUACUGACGCUGAGACGCGAAGGUGCGGGGAGCAAACAGGAUUAGAUACCCUGGUAGUC